AGUGAACGCUGGCGGUAGGCCUAACACAUGCAAGUCGAACGGCAGCACAGUAAGAGCUUGCUCUUACGGGUGGCGAGUGGCGGACGGGUGAGGAAUACAUCGGAAUCUACUUUUUCGUGGGGGAUAACGUAGGGAAACUUACGCUAAUACCGCAUACGACCUACGGGUGAAAGCAGGGGAUCUUCGGACCUUGCGCGAUUGAAUGCGCCGAUGUCGGAUUAGCUAGUUGGCGGGGUAAAGGCCCACCAAGGCGACGAUCCGUAGCUGGUCUGAGAGGAUGAUCAGCCACACUGGAACUGAGACACGGUCCAGACUCCUACGGGAGGCAGCAGUGGGGAAUAUUGGACAAUGGGCGCAAGCCUGAUCCAGCCAUACCGCGUGGGUGAAGAAGGCCUUCGGGUUGUAAAGCCCUUUUGUUGGGAAAGAAAAGCAGCAGGUUAAUACCCCGCUGUUCUGACGGUACCCAAAGAAUAAGCACCGGCUAACCUCGUG
rnacentral:rRNA from 1 species